rnacentral:rRNA from 1 species
AGCAGCCGCGGUAAUUCCAGCUCCAAUAGCGUAUAUUAAAGUUGUUGCAGUUAAAAAGCUCGUAGUUGAAUUUCGGGGUUAGUAGGUUGGUCAUGCCUCUGGUAUGUACUGGUCUCACUGAUUCCUCCUUCCUGAUGAGCCGUAAUGCCAUUAAUUUGGUGUUGCGGGGAAUUUGGACUGUUACUUUGAAAAAAUUAGAGUGUUUAAAGCAAGCUAACGCUUGAAUACAUUAGCAUGGAAUAAUGAAAUAGGACGUUCGAUCCUAUUUUGUUGGUUUCUAGGAUUGACGUAAUGAUUAAUAGGGAUAGUUGGGGGCGUUAGUAUUCAAUUGUCAGAGGUGAAAUUCUUGGAUUUAUUGAAGACUAACUACUGCGAAAGCAUUUGCCAAGGAUGUUUUCAUUAAUCAAGAACGAAAGUUAGGGGAUCGAAGACGAUCAGAUACCGUCGUAGUCUUAACCAUAAACUAUGCCGACUAGGGAUCGGAUGAUGUUAAUUUUUUAAUGACUCA